rnacentral:lncRNA from 1 species
GUGAAAACACAGAGAACUGAAAGAAUCCUAUCUGACUUCUUUUUGUUUACACAGCUGUUUCAAAUGUAUGCUAUAUCAAACAAGGAAUCAAAAGUUCAGAGAGUCAAGCUCCCUCACUCCUCCUUAGAGGGAUGACAUCCCAAAUAUAUUACCUUUGCCCAAGACUAUGUCGUAGGUGAUUCUGCUUUUGGAGAAACACAAUCUAAGCCCCCCAGUACAUAGUUGUAUAUUCUUAGUUGUGGAUCCUUCUAGUUGUGGCAUGUGGGAUGCUGCCUCAGCAUGGCUUGAUGAGCGGUGCCAUGUCUGCGCCCAGGAUUUGAAUCAAUGAAACACUGGGCAGCCUGCAGCAGAGUGCCUGAACUUAACCACUCAGCCACGGGGCUGGCCCCUCCAGCUUUAUUGAGUUAACUUGCUUAAAUUACAGAAAAAUCAAUAUUACCCAA